rnacentral:lncRNA from 1 species
CGCAGCUCCAUGGAACUAAUGCAGAUCUUGCGUAAUAGCCUGCAUUGUAGUCAGUGUGUUCUACAGUGUGUAUCUGGUUCUGCAUGGAAAGCAAUAGUCGUGCAAGUGACUUUUUGAUCUUUUGAUUUUGGAUUUAGAGCACAGAGUAUCUGUCCACGGCUUUCAUGCAAAUCUUCAUCACCGGCUUAGGGGUUUCCAAACAGGGGGGGUCACCCAUGGAGCCAGAAUUUCAGAAGGACACGUUGGGGCCACCUCAUGUCAAAUACAUAACCCACCGCCUCAACGCCACCUUCCCUUCCGAGUUAGAUGCACACGGCACCCGGGAGAUGCACCCCUCCCCCACCCCAGCCUCCGGGUCCCAGGCCCAGAUCAGAAAGUAUAGUGACAAUAGCAAUAACAUGCAUGACAGGCACUGUGUUGGGUGCUUUACCUACACUGUUACGAUUCUCAAAGCCUGCCUCUCAAUGGAGGUAUCAUCACUUCCUUUUCACAGAUGGCAGACUGAGGCUCAGAAAGAGUAAGUGACUCACCCACGGUGACAAGGCCCAAAGGUGUUGAGACUGGAACCCGGAGCCGCUGGAUGAACCCUCGCCAGGGACACUGUUCUGUUUUCAGCUUUACUGGCACCAUCCCAGGUCCUUCCUAAAUGGCCCCCUUCUAGGCCAGGCUCCUGGCAUCCUUGGUGUCUGCACUCUAUUAUCUUCUGAGCAUCUGUCGCGAUCUGAGCAUCUGUCGCGAUCUGAGCAUCUGUCAGGAUCGGCGAUUCAUUUCAUUUCUUUAUUCCCCUGUUUAUUUGCUGACUCUCCACCAGAAUGUAAGCCCCAAGAGUCCCGACACCACGUCGGUCUGGUUUUACCGCAGAAUCACCAGAACGGAGCUUAGCGCCCAGCAGAUGCCCGCCAUGUACUGAUUGAAUGAAUGAAUGAAUGAAUGAAGACUCUCAACACCGGCCCACAAGACCAUGGCCAAAGUUCAGGGAGUCUGACUGAGCUUGGGCGUGUGAAGAGGAAGCUCUCCUUGGUCUAGUGUGGUUGAAAGAGCAUGGAUUUUGGAGUUAGCCCCUUCCUGGCUCAACAUUUGAGAGUAACCUCAACAUUUACUCUCUAUGUGACCUUGGGCAGGCUAUAGGUUUUCUCAUUGAUUAGAUGGGAACAGUAAUACUCUCAAGAACUGCUGUGAAGAUUCACUGAUCUUAGAGAAUGAGAACCCAGAAUGGAUCCUGGCAUAUCUAGCCUCCAGUAUGAGCAGCUCCCUUCCCCCUCCCUGCUAACGACAGGCCUUGGGACUCCAGGCUGGGAAGGGUCCAGAACUCCACUUGCAUUAAAAGCCAGGCCUCAGAGCCUGUUACUCCCCACCCCGUGCAUGCAGCAGCCAAUUUCAAACUAUGUAAAUAUGCCAGACUGCCUCCUCAGCAAGGGGACAGCUAUACUUAGUGCAAUUUGCAUGUAUUUUAAGCUGACUUGUUCCAGGCAAAGAAGCCGAUUCAUGAAUUUAAUAACAUUCA